UCUCCAUGAUGCAGUUCCAAUAGAUCCUUCUGACCCCCCACAGUGGACUCAAUGCACGGGGGAUGAAGAGGAAAGUGACUGAGAGA
rnacentral:snoRNA from 1 species